rnacentral:lncRNA from 1 species
CCCCAUAGAGCAUGUUCAGAGAACAGCAGUCUGCACAGAGCAAAGCCCAGCAGAGGAGGAGGCUGGGAGAAGGGUGGAAAGCAGGAAAGGGUGGUUGGUGACAGACUACAGGAUGCCUGUAAAUCCAGCAUGAGUGGAAGGCGUACACCUCAUUCAUUAGACAGAGGGGAGCCAUGGCAGGCAGGCUUUUGUGUCAGAGCCAGGCAGAAGAGAGAGAGAUUAGCUGAUAUUUGUUGGCCAGAUUGGCUAGGCCAGGAGGUAGCAGGAUUAGUUAGCAGCUGGUUCCAGAGAACUGAAGGGCCUGGUGGAGAGGACACUCCCACCUCAGGCUCCGCCUACCCUGGGUCCUCAUUCCUCAUGUUUCUGAGUGAUUGGUUCUGUUCCUUUGGGUCCCCAGGGCCCACCAGGAUCUGAAGGCCUUCCAGGUCCCCAAGGUCCAGCGGGUCCCCGAGGAGAGCGAGGUCCCCAAGGGAGCUCGGGAGAGAAGGGUGAUCAGGGAUUUCAAGGCCAGCCAGGUUUCCCUGGCCCACCGGGUCCCCCGGGAUUCCCAGGCAAAGCUGGAGCUCCUGGCCCACCUGGCCCCCAAGCAGAGAAGGGCAGUGAAGGGAUGCGAGGUCCCUCAGGCUUGCCUGGUUCCCCUGGACCACCAGGCCCUCCUGGGAUUCAGGGCCCUGCUGGACUGGAUGGACUGGAUGGGAAAGACGGCAAACCGGGCCUGAGGGGGGACCCAGGUCCCGCUGGCCCUCCUGGACUCAUGGGACCUCCAGGUUUCAAAGGGAAAACAGGGCAUCCUGGUCUCCCUGGACCUAAGGGUGACUGUGGAAAACCAGGUCCUCCUGGCAGCAGUGGCCGGCCAGGUGCAGAGGGUGAGCCCGGUGCCAUGGGACCCCAGGGACGACCAGGACCUCCAGGGCAUCUUGGGCCACAGGGGCCUCCAGGCCAGCCAGGUCCACCUGGGCUCUCCACCAUGGGCCUGAAAGGAGAUCGGGGAUCCCCUGGAGAAAGGGGCUUGGCCGGCCUCCCAGGCCAGCCUGGCACACCCGGACACCCCGGCCCUCCGGGUGAACCUGGUUCGGAUGGUGCAGCUGGCAAAGAGGGACCUCCAGGAAAGCAGGGACUCUAUGGACCCCCCGGCCCAAAGGGUGACCCAGGACCUGCAGGACAGAAAGGCCAAGCAGGAGAAAAGGGAAGAUCUGGCAUGCCUGGGGGCCCUGGCAAGAGUGGCUCCAUGGGACCGAUUGGACCACCGGGUCCUGCGGGAGAGAGAGGCCACCCUGGGUCCCCAGGGCCUGCUGGGAACCCUGGAUUGCCUGGUUUGCCAGGCUCUAUGGGAGACAUGGUGAAUUAUGAUGAUAUCAAGAGGUUUAUCAGACAAGAGAUCAUUAAACUGUUUGAUGAGAGGAUGGCUUACUACACCUCUAGGAUGCAGUUCCCCAUGGAGGUGGCAGCAGCUCCAGGCCGGCCAGGGCCUCCAGGGAAGGAUGGCGCCCCAGGGCGGCCAGGUGCUCCAGGGUCACCUGGGCUCCCUGGUCAGAUAGGCCGAGAAGGACGCCAGGGUUUGCCAGGAAUGAGAGGAUUGCCUGGUACCAAAGGUGAUAAGGGAGACAUUGGUGUUGGCAUUGCAGGAGAAAAUGGUCUCCCUGGCCCUCCAGGUCCUCAAGGGCCUCCAGGUUAUGGCAAGAUGGGUGCAACCGGGCCAAUGGGCCAGCAAGGCAUUCCUGGGAUCCCUGGCCCCCCGGGGCCCAUGGGCCAGCCAGGGAAGGCAGGCCACUGCAACCCCUCAGACUGUUUUGGGGCCAUGCCAAUGGAGCAGCAGUACCCGCCCAUAAAAAGCAUGAAGGGGCCUUUUGGUUGAAGCUCCUGCUCGCACUGAGAGGAAGGACUCUACUAGGAAUAAAUGGCCAAAGCUUACAGGACUCUGACAGGUUGUGAAUGUUUGUACUAUUCUUGUGUUUGUUGUUUUGUUGUUGUUGCUGUUAAUAUUUUUUUUAACAAUAAAGAAAGAAAACUAUCUGUAACCCCACUUCCAUGGGGUUCCCCUGGUGCUGCA